ACGAGAGGACUGCGACAACUACGCAUACCAGACGCAACAGAGGUGGAAGGCAGCUCAUGAUGGGGGUCGCUUCACGGCUGAAAUGGCUCCUAUUGAUGUGAAGGUU